GUGUUUUGGCGACUUGAAGACCUCCCUAGUUCGCGGGAGUAGCGGGAAGAGCCUUCCUCGCGUUAAUUAUGCAAUAAGAAGGCGUCCUUGUGCCGGAUGCUGUGACCCGCGGAAUUAUUGAUACUUUGACUGGGUUAAAAAGAAAAGACACAAAGAGAGAAGUGGUCUUUCCCUUUCCCUCCCCAUUAUAAUUAAGAGCUUAGUCCAUCUUGGCUCAGAAUUGGAAUUCAGAAUUGCUCUUGACCCUGAAGAAUAGAAUCUCAAAGAAAUACCUAAGCAGAAAAUUCUUUCCUUCACUGAAAUGAAAAUUGGGGUGUUUGCAAAACUGAACAAAGAAAGGAAAGAAUUUGUAAACAUCACAGGCAACUUGCAGUUAUAUUCGGAUCAUUUUUCAGUGUUUGAGGAGUUCAUACAAUGAAAAGUGACAAGAGGAACCAAGAACGUCAGUUCAGGGGAAACACAGCAAGGAAAUGUAAGCCCC
rnacentral:sRNA from 1 species